rnacentral:rRNA from 1 species
AGUGAACGCUGGCGGUAGGCCUAACACAUGCAAGUCGAACGGCAACACAGUAAGAGCUUGCUCUUACGGGUGGCGAGUGGCGGACGGGUGAGGAAUACAUCGGAAUCUACUUUUUCGUGGGGGAUAACGUAGGGAAACUUACGCUAAUACCGCAUACGACCUACGGGUGAAAGCAGGGGAUCUUCUGACCUUGCGCGAUUGAAUGAGCCGAUGUCGGAGUAGCUAGUUGGCGGGGUAAAGGCCCACCAAGGCGACGAUCCGAAGCUGGUCUGAGAGGAUGAUCAGCCACAUUGGAUCUGAGACAGGGUCCAGACUCCUACGGGAGGACGCAGUGGGGAAUAUUGGACAAUGGGCGCAAGCCUGAUCCAGCCAUACCGCGUGGGUGAAGAAGGACUUCGGGUUGUAAAGCCCUUUUGUUGGGAAAGAAAAGCAGCUGUUUAAUACCCCGCUGUUCUGACGGUACCCAAAGAAUAAGCACCGGCUAACUUCGUG